AACGAACGCUGGCGGCAUGCCUAACACAUGCAAGUCGAACGAACUCUUCGGAGUUAGUGGCGCACGGGUGCGUAACGCGUGGGAAUCUGCCCUUGGGUACGGAAUAACUCAGAGAAAUUUGUGCUAAUACCGUAUAAUGACUUCGGUCCAAAGAUUUAUCGCCCAAGGAUGAGCCCGCGUAAGAUUAGCUAGUUGGUGGGGUAAAAGCCUACCAAGGCGACGAUCUUUAGCUGGUCUGAGAGGAUGAUCAGCCACACUGGGACUGAGACACGGCCCAGACUCCUACGGGAGGCAGCAGUGGGGGAAUAUUGGACAAUGGGCGAAAGCCUGAUCCAGCAAUGCCGCGUGAGUGAUGAAGGCCUUAGGGUGUAAGCUCUUUACCCGGGAUGAUAAUGACAGUACCGGGAGAAUAAGCUCCGGCUAACUCCGUGCCAGCAGCCGCGGUAAU
rnacentral:rRNA from 1 species